GAUGAACGCUGGCGGCGUGCCUAAUACAUGCAAGUCGAGCGAACGGACGAGAAGCUUGCUUCUCUGAUGUUAGCGGCGGACGGGUGAGUAACACGUGGAUAACCUACCUAUAAGACUGGGAUAACUUCGGGAGACCGGAGCUAAUACCGGAUAAUAUAUUGAACCGCAUGGUUCAAUAGUGAAAGACGGUCUUGCUGUCACUUAUAGAUGGAUCCGCGCUGCAUUAGCUAGUUGGUAAGGUAACGGCUUACCAAGGCAACGAUGCAUAGCCGACCUGAGAGGGUGAUCGGCCACACUGGAACUGAGACACGGUCCAGACUCCUACGGGAGGCAGCAGUAGGGAAUCUUCCGCAAUGGGCGAAAGCCUGACGGAGCAACGCCGCGUGAGUGAUGAAGGUCUUCGGACCGUAAAACUCUGUUAUUAGGGAAGAACAUAUGUGUAAGUAACUGUGCACAUCUUGACGGUACCUAAUCAGAAAGCCACGGCUAACUACGUG
rnacentral:rRNA from 1 species